rnacentral:rRNA from 1 species
UACGUAGGGGGCAAGCGUUGUCCGGAUUUAUUGGGCGUAAAGAGCGUGUAGGCGGUCUGGUAGGUCCGUUGUGAAAACCCGUGGCUCAACUGUGGGCGGGCAGCUGAUACGGGCAGGCUGGAGUUCGGUAGGGGAGACUGGAAUUCCUGGUGUAGCGGUGAAAUGCGCAGAUAUCAGGAGGAACACCGGUGGCGAAGGCGGGUCUCUGGGCCGAUACUGACGCUGAGGAGCGAAAGCGUGGGGAGCGAACAGG